AAGCUGAUGGGAAAAGUGUCGGCACUCGGCUUCAUUUCAACCUGGAGGAAGAUUAGCAGCAUCAAUAGACGUUCAUCUUAAUGUCAACUGUUGAAAGGAUUUGUUUGCAUUAUAAUAUAAGUUUAAAAUACAUUUAAUCUGCAUAUUAUUUGAAGUUUAAUAGGAACGGAACAUUUAACUGGAUCAUGGACGACUAUCCACCGACGAAGAAUUUGUCAUUGAGCUGAUGGAAAAUGUGUCGGCACUCGGCUGUAUUUCAACACGGAGGACGUCUGGCAGCAGCAAAAAGAUAUUCAACUGACGAUAAUCAACUGUCGAAAGGAUUUGUUGUGAAGAAGAAUUUGUCAUUGAGCUGAUGGAAAAUGUGUCGGCACUCGGCUUCGUUUCAACACGGAGGACGUCUGGCAGCAGCAAAAAGAUAUUCAACUGACUAUAAUCUACUGUCGAAAGGAUUUGUUGUGAAGAAGAAUUUGUCACAAAGCUGAUGGGAAAUGUGUCGGCACUCGGCUGUAUUUCAACACGGAGGACGUCUAGCAGCAGCAAAAAGAAAUUCAACUGACGAUAAUCAACUGUCGAAAGGAUUUGUUGUGAAGAAGAAUUUGUCAUUGAGCUGAUGGAAAAUGUGUCGGCACUCGGCUGUAUUUCAACACGGAGGACGUCUGGCAGCAGCAAAAAGAUAUUCAACUGACGAUAAUCAACUGUCGAAAGGAUUUGUUGUGAAGAAGAAUUUGUCACAAAGCUGAUGGGAAAUGUGUCGGCACUCGGCUGUAUUUCAACACGGAGGACGUCUAGCAGCAGCAAAAAGAAAUUCAACUGACGAUAAUCAACUGUCGAAAGGAUUUGUUGUGAAGAAGAAUUUGUCACAAAGCUGAUGGGAAAAGUGUCGGCACUCGGCUUCAUUUCAACCUGGAGGAAGAUUAGCAGCAUCAAUAGACGUUCAUCUUAAUGUCAACUGUUGAAAGGAUUUGUUUGCAUUAUAAUAUAAGUUUAAAAUACAUUUAAUCUGCAUAUUAUUUGAAGUUUAAUAGGAACGGAACAUUUAACUGGAUCAUGGACGACUAUCCACCGACGAAGAAUUUGUCAUAGAGCUGAUGGAAAAUGUGUCGGCACUCGGCUUCGUUACAACACGGAGGACGUCUGGCAGCAGCAAAAAGAUAUUCAACUGACGAUAAUCUACUGUCGAAAUGAAGAAGAAUUUGUCAUUGAGCUGAUGGAAAAUGUGUCGGCACUCGGCUGUAUUUCAACACGGAGGACGUCUGGCAGCAGCAAAAAGAUAUUCAACUGACGAUAAUCAACUGUCGAAAGGAUUUGUUGUGAAGAAGAAUUUGUCAUUGAGCUGAUGGAAAAUGUGUCGGCACUCGGCUUCGUUUCAACACGGAGGACGUCUGGCAGCAGCAAAAAGAUAUUCAACUGACUAUAAUCUACUGUCGAAAGGAU